rnacentral:pre_miRNA from 1 species
CAGGGUUGGGGUCUCAGAAGGCAGUGCUCUUGGGGCGUCUCCACCAUGGCCUGGGCUCUGCUCCUCCUCACACUCCUCACUCAGGGCACAGAUGA